GUUAAGACAAGAAACAUGGUAUCCCAUCCACUGGGUGAAAGUUGCAGUGGUAGAUUGGUACAGAGAAAAACAAGAAAAAUGGUACCUGCUCUUAUAUGACCAUGAAAUCUGAUCUUGAUAGACAUUUCAUGUUGAUAGUGCAAAAAGUUUUCAGUGAAAAGCCAUAAACCAAUAAACUGAAAUUGCUAAAAAUUGUUGUGCAAAAGAACUCAAUUCUCUUUUAUCAGAGUAACACACCAUAUGAAGAUUUUUCCACAGUUAACACUAAAUAGGCUAUUUAGGUAAAUGUUCUU
rnacentral:misc_RNA from 1 species